rnacentral:lncRNA from 1 species
CUCCACCCUCCACCCUGUUCUAUGGCCCUGGGCGUGACUUGCUCUUGCCCCUUGCCUUCUGUUUGGAUCCUGCCAAUGAGGACUCCUAGCAGGAGAUGGGGGCUCUCAUAUUUAACUGAAAGGCUCAGCUCCACGCAGCGUUUCUGUCUCCAGCCCACACAGCACGAUGAGAUAAAGACUAGAGGCUGCUCACUGCUGAGAGUGGACCAUCCAGCUCAUUUGGUCACAUAAUUUCCAGCCAGCCACCUUAUGGGCAAGAUUUUGGCUCACCUGUAAGCUAUUAGCUGGAAAAUACUGGCUUCAUGAAAUGGCUUGGAAGAUUUGGAGGCAACCUAAAUGUCCAUCAACAGAUGAAUGGAUAAAGAACAACAGGGUGACUAAAGUCAAUAAUAAUUUAAUUAUACAUUUA